rnacentral:rRNA from 1 species
AGAGUUUGAUCAUGGCUCAGAACGUACGCUGGCGGCACGCCUAACACAUGCAAGUCGAACGAAGUAGCAAUACUUAGUGGCAGACGGGUGAGUAACAUGUGGGUAUCUACCCUUUGGCCUGGAAUAACACGAGGAAACUUGUGCUAAUACCGGAUAAGUCUUUACGGAGAAAGCUUUAUGCACCAUUGGAUGAGCCCGCACUUGAUUAGUUUGUUGGUAGGGUAAUGGCCUACCAAGACUAUGAUCAAUAGCUGAUUUGAGAGGAUGAUCAGCCACAUUGGGACUGAGACACGGCCCAAACUCCUACGGGAGGCAGCAGUGGGGAAUCUUGCACAAUGGAGGAAACUCUGAUGCAGCGAUGCCGCGUGAGUGAAGAAGGCCUUUGGGUUGUAAAGCUCUUUCGUCGGGGAAGAAAAUGACUGUACCCGAAUAAGAAGGUCCGGCUAACUUCGUGCCAGCAGCCGCGGUAAUACGAAGGGACCUAGCGUAGUUCGGAAUUACUGGGCGUAAAGAGUAUGUAGGCGGCUAGAUAAGUUAAUUGUGAAAGCCCAAAGCUUAACUUUGGAACUGCAAUUAAAACUAUUUAGCUGGAGUAUGAUAGAGGAAAGCGGAAUACAUAGUGUAGAGGUGAAAUUCGUAGAUAUUAUGUAGAACACCAGUUGCGAAGGCGGCUUUCUGGAUCAUUACUGACGCUGAGAUACGAAAGUAUGGGUAGCGAAGAGGAUUAGAUACCCUCGUAGUCCAUGCCGUAAACGAUG